CCUANGGGUGGCAGCAGUAGGGAAUAUUGCGCAAUGGACGAAAGUCUGACGCAGCAACGCCGCGUGGGUGAUGAAGCAUUUCGGUGUGUAAAACCCUGUCAGUGGGGAAGAAACGCAUGAGGAGUAACUGCCUUGUGCCUGACGGUACCCGCAGAGGAAGUCCCGGCUAACUCCGUGCCAGCAGCCGCGGUAAUACGGGGGGGACAAGCGUUGUUCGGAUUUACUGGGCGUAAAGGGCGCGUAGGCGGACCUUCAAGUCGGAUGUGAAACCUGGCGGCUUAACCACCAGCCUGCAUUCGAUACUGUUGGUCUUGAGUACGGGAGAGGAGAAUGGAAUUCCAGGUGUAGCGGUGAAAUGCGUAGAUAUCUGGAAGAACACCAGUAGCGAAGGCGGUUCUCUGGACCGAUACUGACGCUGAAGCGCGAAGGCUUGGGGAGCAAACAGGAUUAGAUACCCGGNUANUC
rnacentral:rRNA from 1 species